AUUGAACGCUGGCGGCAGGCCUAACACAUGCAAGUCGAGCGGAAACGCUGUAGCUUGUUACAGUCGUCGAGCGCCGGUGGGGUGAGUAUCGGGUAGGAAUCGGCCUCGUAGUUGGGGACAACAUGAGGAUAGGCAUGCUAAUACUGCUAACGCCUUCCGCGUGCAAGUAGGGGAACUUCGGAUUUUUCGCUAUUAGAUGAGCCUGCGUCAGAUUAGCUAGUUGGUAGGGUAAAGGCCUACCAAGGCGACGAUCAGUAGCUGGUCUGAGAGGAUGACCAGUCACACUGGAACUGAGACACGGCCCAGACUCCUACGGGAGGCAGCAGUGGGGAAUAUUGGACAAUGGGCGCAAGCCUGAUCCAGCCAUGCCGCGUGUGUGAAGAAGGCCUUAGGGUUGUAAAGCACUUUCAGUGGUGAAGAAAAGUGUUUGGUUAAUAUCCAGAUAUUUUGACGGUACCCAAAGAAGAAGCACCGGCUAACUCUGUG
rnacentral:rRNA from 1 species